rnacentral:rRNA from 1 species
ACCCGCUGAAUUUAAGCAUAUCAAUAAGCGGAGGAAGAGAAACUAACAAGGAUUCCCCCAGUAACGGCGAGCGAAGUGGGAACAGCUCGAGCCUGAAAUCCCUGGCAGCUGNUGCCAGAGAAUUGUGGCCGGGAGAGGCAGCGGUGCCCCGACUGUUGCUGUCGAAGUUGACCUGGAAAGGCACGCCAGAGAGGGUGAGAGCCCCGUGCACGACACCGACGGAAAGGGCCGCUACUGUCUUCGGAGAGUCGGGUUGUUUGGGAAUGCAGCCCAAAGUGGGUGGUAAACUCCAUCUAAAGCUAAAUACUGGCACGAGACCGAUAGCGAACAAGUACCAUGAGGGAAAGGUGAAAAGUACUUUGAAAAGAGAGUCAAAAAGACCGCGAAACCGUUAGGAGGGAAACGCAU